CGGCUUCCCACACUUCAAAGAGAGGUCUCUGGCCCAUCUACCCUCAGUCUCUCCUAAAAGAGGAGCUCGGUCAUGAAGGAAAUGUAGACGAUGGCCAAGCGGAGGGUCUCGAUCCUCGACAGUCUCUUCUCAUAAGCGAAGGAAUGGCAUAGCUGCCGAUAGAGCUCCUUGGUGGCCUUGAUUCCUGCAGCGUAUCAUCACCAAACUCGGGGAGACAUUUAUAACCAAACUGAAAAAGGAUUCUUAGCAGGGAGACUGAAGGCUAGGGCAACGUCCCUCUUCUGUAAGCUGAUAGAAGAUGACAAGUUCAAGCAUUCACAGAAGGCUCAAGGCGGCAGACUUUCAGGCUCUAAGGUCUUUAAUUUCGAUUUGGAUUUUCAAAGCCAAAAUCUUUCCACUGCGAUGGCUUCUCCUUGGCUUCAGGAUAGGAGUCCUGAAUCUUGCCUCCAUUUGCCAAUGGAUGUGAAAUAAGGGCAUGCGCUUUUAAUGAUGUCCAGAAGAGAGGCCCUUCCUGCCAGGGGUCGAGGGGAGCUGUUUGUCUGGUAUCCCAGCACAGCGGCUGCUGAAAGGACAUCGCAAACAACUCACUGCCUGGUUACAGACCCUGACUUCUGAAGUCGGCUUGAACACAAUCAGACUGACAAUUGAGAUACUUGACUCUCCCUGGUCUUAUCCUCCACUGUGGAGGGUUAUAUUUGAAGAAAAGAGUUAUGGUGAUAAAGAAAUAUAAAACGGAGAUUCCAGACAUUUACUGCAUAAGCCCUUUACUGUGUAAUUACCCCUUAGGGGACAAAGUAUCACCGUCCUGUCCCUGUCUUCCCCGUUCCUGCCUCCCUCCCCCUACCCCCGACCCUGCAAGCCUCCUUUGAAAAAUUCGAUUUAGCUUUAAUAAGAGAGAGAGAGUGAACAGCUCACUCUCUGUUAGGGAGUUAGCCUUCGAACUUUUAAAUUGCCAAUCAAGCAUUUGUUCUUGAACAAAGAAAAAUCCUGACACUUUGAUCUGG
rnacentral:lncRNA from 1 species